GCCCAGUGACUUUCUUAAACGGCCGCGGUAUCCUAACCGUGCAAAGGUAGCAUAAUCACUUGUCCUCUAAAUAAGGACUAGUAUGAACGGUCAAAUGAGGACUUAACUGUCUCUUACAUUCAACCAAUAAAACUGAUCUCUCAGUUAAAAAGCUGAGAUAUUAACAUAAGACGAGAAGACCCUGUGGAGCUUCAAACCAAACCCAACCCUAAUGAGGCUCGGUUUUUAGUUGGGGCGACUUCGGAGUAUAAAAAAACCUCCGACACAAACCAUAUUAAGACCAACACGUCAACAUAUUUUUCUCCUGACCCGGUAUUUACCAAAAAUAUCCGAUCAAUGAACCAAGUUACCCCAGGGAUAACAGCGCCAUCCCCUUCUAGAGUCCUUAUCGACAAGGGGGUUUACGACCUCGAUGUUGGAUCAGGACACCCAAAUAGUGCAGCCGCUAUUAAAGGUUCGUUUGUUCAACGAUUAAUAGUCCUACGUGAUCUGAGGUUCAG
rnacentral:rRNA from 1 species